AGUCCGUUAGCUCAGUGGUUAGAGCAUCGUGCUGAUAACACGAGGGUCGUAGGUUCAAAUCCUACAUGGACUA
rnacentral:tRNA from 1 species